CCUACGGGCGGCAGCAGUGGGGAAUAUUGCACAAUGGGGGAAACCCUGAUGCAGCGACGCCGCGUGAGUGAAGAAGUAAUUCGUUAUGUAAAGCCCUAUCAGCAGGGAAGAAAAUGACGGUACCUGAGUAAGAAGCCCCGGCUAACUACGUGCCAGCAGCCGCGGUAAUAAGUAGGGGGCAAGCGUUAUCCGGAUUUACUGGGUGUAAAGGGAGCGUAGGCGGAAGUGCAAGUCUGGAGUGAAAGGCGGGGGCUCAACCCCCGGACUGCUCUGGAAACUGUACGGCUGGAGUGCAGGAGAGGUGAGUGGAAUUCCUGGUGUAGCGGUGAAAUGCGUAGAUAUUAGGAGGAACACCAGUGGCGAAGGCGGCUUACUGGACUGUAACUGACGCUGAGGAGCGAAAGCGUGGGUAGCAAACAGGAUUAGAUACCCCGGUAGUC
rnacentral:rRNA from 1 species